rnacentral:snoRNA from 1 species
UGGCAAUGAUGACUAUCUUAGGACACCUUUGGAUUAACCGUGAAACAAACACAGAUUCUGAGCCAC